rnacentral:rRNA from 1 species
GAUGAACGCUGGCGGCGUGCCUAAUACAUGCAAGUCGAGCGAACAGACGAGGAGCUUGCUCCUUUGACGUUAGCGGCGGACGGGUGAGUAACACGUAGGUAACCUACCUAUAAGACUGGGAUAACUUCGGGAAACCGGAGCUAAUACCGGAUAAUAUUUCGAACCGCAUGGUUCGAUAGUGAAAGAUGGCUUUGCUAUCACUUAUAGAUGGACCUGCGCCGUAUUAGCUAGUUGGUAAGGUAACGGCUUACCAAGGCAACGAUACGUAGCCGACCUGAGAGGGUGAUCGGCCACACUGGAACUGAGACACGGUCCAGACUCCUAAGGGAGGCAGCAGUAGGGAAUCUUCCGCAAUGGGCGAAAGCCUGACGGAGCAACGGCGCGUGAGUGAUGAAGGUCUUCGGAUCGUAAAACUCUGUUAUUAGGGAAGAACAAACGUGUAAGUAACUGUGCACGUCCUGACGGUACCUAAUCAGAAAGCCACGGCUAACUACGUG